rnacentral:rRNA from 1 species
AGAGUUUGAUCCUGGCUCAGGAUGAACGCCGGCGGUGUGCCUAAUACAUGCAAGUCGAACGCGUUGGCCCAAUUGAUUGACGGUGCUUGCACCUGAUUGAUUUAGGUCGCCAACGAGUGGCGGACGGGUGAGUAACACGUAGGUAACCUGCCCAGAAGCGGGGGACAACAUUUGGAAACAGAUGCUAAUACCGCAUAACAGCGUUGUUCGCAUGAACAACGCUUAAAAGAUGGCUUCUCGCUAUCACUUCUGGAUGGACCUGCGGUGCAUUAGCUUGUUGGUGGGGUAACGGCCUACCAAGGCGAUGAUGCAUAGCCGAGUUGAGAGACUGAUCGGCCACAAUGGGACUGAGACACGGCCCAUACUCCUACGGGAGGCAGCAGUAGGGAAUCUUCCACAAUGGGCGCAAGCCUGAUGGAGCAACACCGCGUGAGUGAAGAAGGGUUUCGGCUCGUAAAGCUCUGUUGUUAAAGAAGAACACGUAUGAGAGUAACUGUUCAUACGUUGACGGUAUUUAACCAGAAAGUCACGGCUAACUACGUGCCAGCAGCCGCGGUAAUACGUAGGUGGCAAGCGUUAUCCGGAUUUAUUGGGCGUAAAGAGAGUGCAGGCGGUUUUCUAAGUCUGAUGUGAAAGCCUUCGGCUUAACCGGAGAAGUGCAUCGGAAACUGGAUAACUUGAGUGCAGAAGAGGGUAGUGGAACUCCAUGUGUAGCGGUGGAAUGCGUAGAUAUAUGGAAGAACACCAGUGGCGAAGCGGCUACCUGGUCUGCAACUGACGCUGAGACUCGAAAGCAUGGGUAGCGAACAGGAUUAGAUACCCUGGUAGUCCAUGCCGUAAACGAUGAGUGCUAGGUGUUGGAGGGUUUCCGCCCUUCAGUGCCGGAGCUAACGCAUUAAGCACUCCGCCUGGGGAGUACGACCGCAAGGUUGAAACUCAAAGGAAUUGACGGGGGCCCGCACAAGCGGUGGAGCAUGUGGUUUAAUUCGAAGCUACGCGAAGAACCUUACCAGGUCUUGACAUCUUGCGCCAACCCUAGAGAUAGGGCGUUUCCUUCGGGAACGCAAUGACAGGUGGUGCAUGGUCGUCGUCAGCUCGUGUCGUGAGAUGUUGGGUUAAGUCCCGCAACGAGCGCAACCCUUGUUACUAGUUGCCAGCAUUAAGUUGGGCACUCUAGUGAGACUGCCGGUGACAAACCGGAGGAAGGUGGGGACGACGUCAGAUCAUCAUGCCCCUUAUGACCUGGGCUACACACGUGCUACAAUGGACGGUACAACGAGUCGCGAACUCGCGAGGGCAAGCAAAUCUCUUAAAACCGUUCUCAGUUCGGACUGCAGGCUGCAACUCGCCUGCACGAAGUCGGAAUCGCUAGUAAUCGCGGAUCAGCAUGCCGCGGUGAAUACGUUCCCGGGCCUUGUACACACCGCCCGUCACACCAUGAGAGUUUGUAACACCCAAAGUCGGUGGGGUAACCUUUUAGGAGCCAGCCGCCUAAGGUGGGACAGAUGAUUAGGGUGAAGUCGUAACAAGGUAACC